rnacentral:rRNA from 1 species
UGAAGCCGGAAUUGCUAGUAAUGGUAGGUCAGCAUACUGCCGUGAAUACGUUCCCGGGCCUUGUACACACCGCCCGUCACACCAUGAGAGUUGGGGAUACCCGAAGCCUGUGAGCUAACUAUUUAUAGGAGCAGCAGUCGAAGGUAGAAUCAAUGAUUGGGGUGAAGUCGUAACAAGGUACC